rnacentral:sRNA from 1 species
CAGAAUCUACCAGCAGGAGUUCUAGUAAAACUGGACGAGAUACUCCAGAAAAUGGAGAAACUGCAAUUGGUGCUGAAAAUUCAGAAAAAAUAGAUGAGAAUUCAGAUAAAGAGGUGGAAGUAGAAGAAUCUCCAGAGAAAAUAAAAGUACAAACAACACCAAAAGUAGAAGAAGAACAGGAUUUGAAAUUUCAGAUUGGAGAACUGGCAAAUACCCUGACAAGUAAAUUUGAAUUUCUAGGCAUUAAUAGACAAUCCAUCUCCAACUUUCAUGUGCUGCUCUUACAGACUGAGACUCGAAUUGCAGACUGGCGGGAAGGGGCUCUUAAUGGAAACUACCUUAAACGAAAACUUCAGGAUGCAGCAGAACAACUAAAACAGUAUGAAAUAAACGCCACUCCUAAAGGCUGGUCCUGCCACUGGGACAGGACCUCUGGAAGCAACUACUCCUGAUUAACCUCGGUGAAGUUAAGGAAAACUUCGUGGCUGAAGAUGUGAAUGAAGAACAAGAUUACUAUCCUCUGCCAGCAGGUCAGAUGAAAACAUUUCUUUAUAUAUUUGGCUUUUCUUGAUUUUUUUUUCGUUAUUUGAAAUCUUUGCUCUUUUAUUUUUCAGCUCCCAGAUCCUCUCCCUCUCUUUAGCUUUCACUGUGUUUGAUAUCAAGAAUAUGAAAUGUGAAUUCCACGGUCCAAGAGGGGAAGAGUCACCUUUCACAAACUUCGUUGUUCUCUUCUUUGGAAGGGAAAUUAGUGUUCUAGGCGAUUGAGUCCCUUCAUUAAUGAAACUUGAAACCCUGUUAUGCAUUGGCAAAUAAC